rnacentral:rRNA from 1 species
UACGAAGGGAGCUAGCGUUGUUCGGAAUCACUGGGCGUAAAGCGCACGUAGGCGGAUGUGUCAGUCAGGGGUGAAAUCCCGGAGCUCAACUUCGGAACUGCCCUUGAUACAGCACGUCUUGAGUCCGGAAGAGGUGGGUGGAAUUCCUAGUGUAGAGGUGAAAUUCGUAGAUAUUAGGAAGAACACCGGUGGCGAAGGCGGCCCACUGGUCCGGUACUGACGCUGAGGCACGAAAGCGUGGGGGAGCAAACAGG